GAAAGGCGGGCUAAACCCGCGUACAUGCCACCGGGGCAUCCCGGAGGCAGGAAAGGCUUCGGCCGGACAGGGAUGGGCAUGCGGCGCAUUAGGCAGUAGGCGGGGUAACGGCCCACCUAACCGACGAUGCGUAGGGGUUCUGAGAGGAAGGUCCCCCACACUGGUACUGAGACACGGACCAGACUCCUACGGGAGGCAGCAGUGAGGAAUAUUGGUCAAUGGUCGGGAGACUGAACCAGCCAAGCCGCGUGGGGGAGGAAGGUACAGAGUAUCGUAAACCUCUUUUGUCAGGGAACAAAGACUGGGACGCGUCCCCGGAUGAGUGUACCUGAAGGAAAAGCAUCGGCUAACUCCGUGCCAGCAGCCGCGGUAAUACGGAGGAUGCGAGCGUUAUCCGGAUUUAUUGGGUUUAAAGGGUGCGCAGGCGGUCUGUUAAGUCAGCGGUCAAAGCCCGGGGCUCAACCCCGGCCCGCCGUUGAAACUGGCAGUCUCGAGUUGGAGAGAAGUAUGCGGAAUGCGCGGUGUAGCGGUGAAAUGCAUAGAUAUCGCGCAGAACUCCGAUUGCGAAGGCAGCAUGCCGGCUCCACACUGACGCUGAGGCACGAAAGCGUGGGUAUCGAACAGGAUUAGAUACCCUGGUAGUCC
rnacentral:rRNA from 1 species